UUAUAAAGUUCUCAUUUAAUAUAUCAAUUUGUUUGUUUCAUAAAUUAGUGUCAUCAGUAAAAUUGUGAGCUUAAAAUAAUGUUUUUAGCUUUCCCCCUUUUUGCAUGUGCGCAUGUGAUGUUUUCUGCACCAUAUAAUUUAUUGCUUUUUUUACUCACUAUCACUAUGCAAAUUUAAAACAAACUUAGAAAAAAAAGAUUAAUGUGUCAAGCUAGCCAUUAUAUAUUGCAGUACUGAACUGAGUGAAAAAGGAAAACACGCACAUCAGUUUGCAUGUACAUAAACUGAGUUGUCGAGCGUUUACAAAAUGACGACAAAACGAUAAUGACAAUGAUGAUAAUGUAUUACACCUUCAACCCAGGUAAGCACAAAUUGGAAGAAUUACGGUAAAUAACUAUUCUGACAAACAUUUAUUCUUUUUAAAUUCAUUUCACAAAGCAAUAAGGGACAAGUUGACGAAAUAUUCUAUAGAUUUUUGCCGUACACAGGAAUUUGUCAUUAUUAAGGUACAAUUAUUGUUUCUCCUCAUCGUACGGAGAUGCAUUCACUCUGCUGUGUAAAAACUAUAACGUCACAGAAUUUGACCAUUUUUACAGCUUACUAGCAAAGCGAGUUACUGUACUGAGUAUGCUUUUUCGAGUUUUCAAUCAAGAUUAAUGAAUUCAAUUAACCCACAGUCUGACAAUUGUGACCACAGGCAAUGUUACCAUGACACGACCAAAAUGUAUUAACGCGAGUUCCACUCCGAUCAUUGCUUACAUUACAACUUAGAAUGGUUUACACUCAUUCUGGAUUCAAUACAACCACCGACCUGCGUGCAUCUGAAAAAAAAAUCAAAGAAAGUUACGUACAGACAGCUUCGCAAAUUCUUACUGAGAUAGACCAAUAUUCUGCAAGUUUUGUACCGUUACAGAUGUGCCCAAUUAUCGAAAGACAUAAACUGGAAGGUAGAAUUUUGGAGGAAGCUAUUCUCAGCAUCGUAUUGAGAUGUAUUCAGCUAGACUGUGUAGAAUAAAUUAUGGCGUCAGCGCGCCACAGAAUUUGACCAUUAUUACAGCCUCUUGGCAAAG